UACAGAGGUCUCAAGCGUUGUUCGGAUUCAUUGGGCGUAAAGAGCUCGUAGGCGGUUUGUUGCGUCGGCUGUGAAAUCCCGAGGCUCAACCUCGGGUCUGCAGUCGAUACGAGCAAACUAGAGUGUUGCAGGGGAGACUGGAAUUCCUGGUGUAGCGGUGAAAUGCGCAGAUAUCUGGAGGAACACCGGUGGCGAAGGCGGCAUCCUGGACCAAUAUUGACGCUGAGGAGCGAAAGCUAGGGGAGCAAACGGG
rnacentral:rRNA from 1 species